CCCCUCUGGCAAUGGACAAAGAGACACCUUGUUGCCAGUAUUGUUCUUAUAUCAGUCAGGGCAGAGCAGUUGGCAGUCCUUUGUUCAUCCUAGCUUGAUGCCUGGCUUGGUGUCCAAAGCUGUUUUAUGCCUAGGACCCAUAA
rfam:Mus musculus chromosome X, GRC primary reference assembly.